UACAGAGGUCCCGAGCGUUGUUCGGAUUCACUGGGCGUAAAGGGUGCGUAGGUGGCAUGGUAAGUUUGAUGUGAAAGCUCAGGGCUCAACCCUGAAAUGGCAUUGAAUACUACUGUGCUGGAGGUUUGGAGGGGGGACUGGAAUUCUUGGUGUAGCAGUGAAAUGCGUAGAUAUCAAGAGGAACACCAGUGGCGAAGGCGGCGAUCUGGGAAGAUACUGACGCUGAGGUGCGAAAGCGUGGGGAGCAAACAGG
rnacentral:rRNA from 1 species